GAAAAACAAACGAAUUAAAUCUACGGAUUUAAUUUAGAUUCAUUUUAUAACUUAUCGAUUUUAGCGAGAUAUCACAUGUCGAAAUCGAGAAUUAUUUAAAUAAAUAGUACAAGUAGAUACGAGCACGUGAUCCAUCUUACAGUUACCGAAUCACCGAGACAGAGAAAAUACAUCAAUAAUUCUCCUCUACAUUUUUUUUUUUAUCCUUUCUUUUUCUUCUCUUUUUCUUUCCAUUAAUUUUGUUUCCCACCACUUUCACCACUUUUCUACACCACUAUGCUUUGUUUUCCAUUACCAUCAUUGCCACAAUAAUUCUUCCACUUACUCCCUCCAUGUCCUUUAACAUUUCAGUCAGUAAACUCCCUUCACCCAUUUCCUUUGACACCAGAAACCAGAAAAUUUGAAGGAAAGAAAUAGAAUUGUAAAACUGCUGCCAACUUCAAAGGAGUUAUUUCACACUUCAUUCGAUUCAACAACAAGCAAUCAAUUCGAUCACAUUCGAGGUAUUUACUGAGCUCAAUAUGCUAUGUCCUAUAAUGCAUAUUAUCCAUCCAAGUAUGAUCAGUAUACACAUGAAAAUAGGCUCCACAGUUUAAUAAGAAAGGAUACACCCUAGCUCGUGAUCGGACAAUUUUAGCUAUGACAUCCUCACACUGUUAAAUGUUAGCACUGACUUUUCUCACUCAACUGAAUCAAUAUGCAUACUCCUCGACACCAAUCGCGUAAACAAAAACUUAGCUUAAGAAUAGGGUCGACUGCCCUGUUUAGUCGAGCUCAAGGAAGACGACGGCGAAGCCGAAGGUUCCAGCAGCAGCGGCGUCGGGGCUCGGGGAAUCAACGACGACGGUGGCCUGGUGCUCCUACUGCUGUCGAUCCAGAGAUAGCAGUGGGUGGAUGGCGGCUGGACGAGAAGCUGGUCGGCGGAGGAAAGAGGAGGCGCUCGCCGGUCUUCCACAGACGGCAGCGGCGGCGGCACCCACUUCGGCUGAGGCCGGAUCGAGAGGGAGAGAUAGGAAGAAGGCUGGCCAACAGCAGCGGCCGGCGGCGGCGCUCCUCCAGCAAGCCGCGACUCCGGUGAAACAGCAACAGCUCCAGACAACGGCGAUAGCUCAAGGCGGUGGCGGAUCGAAGCAGCGACACGGCGAAUCUCCCGACCUUCCAGUUGCAGCGACGGCGGCGCUCUCUGAUUUGGGGAAGAAACUAGGGCUCAGGCGGCGCCUCCGUUCGAAAUCGGAGCGGUGGCGGCCGGCCGGCGCAUGGGGUACCUGUCGCACGAGAAAGAGGAGAAGGGAGAGGUGGAGACAACGUUGGGGGCUGCUUUGCCGGAGUUGAGCCGGAGGGCCGAAAGAGAGGGCGGCUCGACAAUGAUGUCGCCGGAAACGGACGGAGAGGGGAGAGCAGCGGAUGACGGCGGCUUAUCACCGCUGCUUCCCGGCGAGUUUCUGCAGCUGCGGAACUUAGCGAGAGAGAGAGAAACGAGAAUUGAUAAGAAGAGAGAGAUUUACUUUCGUAUGGGUGCUUGGGAGUGUGACCGAGAGAGAGAGAGAUGAGUGUAUUAUUGCUGAGAGAGAGAACCGUGUAUUUGGAGUUGGGCUCUUCAAUUUGUUUUGGGCUUUAAUUUAAUUGAGUUGGGCCGAAAAAUUUGGGCCUCCUAUUUAUUUAUUGGGCUUUGUUAUUUA